UUAAGAUUUGUGCUCUUUGAAUUUCCCAUGCAUUAAUUUUUAUUUUUUGCUUUUUAGGGCUGAACUCUUGGCAUGUGGAAGUUCCCACGCUAGGGGUCGAAUUGGAGCUACAGCUGCCGACCUAUACCACAGCCAGAGCAACUCGGGAUCUGAGCCGAAUCUGCAACCUACACCACAGCUCAUGGCAAUGCUGGAUCCUUAACCCACUGAGCGAGGCCAGGGAUUGAACCCACAUCCUCAUGGAUCCUAGUCGGGUCCUUUAACUUCUGAGCCACAAAAGGAACUUCCCCUGUGGGUUAAUUUAAAAGCAACAAUUUAUCUUUAGAGGGGAAGGUUAAAUUAGGAACUGAGGAUUAACAGACACUAAUGGAUCUAAAAUAGAUAAACAGCAAGGACCUACUGUAUAGCACAGGGAACUAUAUUCAAUAUUUUUAAUAACCUAUAAUAGAAAAUAUAUAUACACAUAUGUGUAUACAUAUGUAUAUAACCAAAUUACUUUGCUAUACAGCUGAAACACAGCAAAUCAACUACACUUUAAUUUUCGUGUGUGUCUUUUUUUUUUUUAAGGGGCUCACCUGCGGCACUUGGAAGUUCUCAGGCUAGGGCUCAAAUCAGAGCUGCAGCUGCCAGCCUACACCACAGCUCACAGACAACACCGGAUCCUUAACCCACUGAGUGAGGCCAGGGAUAGAACCCACGUCCUCAUGGUUACUAGUUGGGUUCGUUACCGUCGAGCUGCUAUGGGAACUCCCACUUCAAUUUUUUUUUUAAUUAAGGAAAAAAAAAAAGAUCUUUAGAAUGCGUAUGCAACCCCCAUGGGUAACUCCAAUUAAAUAAAGUCCAAACUCUCCUUAGCCUGGGAAAAUGGGUUUUGCAAUCUGACCCCUCCACCCAACCCACAUCAGCCAACCUGCUUUUCAAAUGCCACCUGUGCCUUGCUGGCUCCAGUCCCUGAUCUGGAGAGUCUCUCUGCCUAGUAGAGACUCCGUCCCCUCCAAGGCCCAGAUUAAAAGGCAUUUGCUGGCAGCCUUCUGUCUCUGAACUACUGAUAUAUUCGGGGUUGGGUAACUCUUUUUUUUUUUUUCAAUGGCUAUACCCACAUACGAAAAUUCCUGGGCUAGGGAUCAAAUCUGAGCUGCAGCUGCAACCUACACCACAGCUGUGGCAAUGCUGGAUCCUUAACCCACUGUACCACAUGGGGACUCCCAGCUGAGUAACACUUUGUUGCAGGGCUGGGAGUGUCCUGUACCUUGAAGGAGUGUCCCUGGCUCACUAGUGGCAGUAGCCAUCUACCCCUCCUUCCCAGGUUGUGACAACCCACAGUGGCUUUAGACAUUGCCACAUGGCCCUUGGGGGCAAAAUCAUCCCCCAGAGAAUGUUACAUAAGCUGCUGGUCCCUCCUGCUCCCCACAGUUUUUCUAGCCAUGGUGGCAUCUAUCACACACGGUCCACAGUGAACUGCAUUUGGGUCUUUCUGUCUCCACAAAUGACUAGAGGGCACCUGGGGUGCAAGGACCAGAUUCCUACUGUAAUCAUAUUCAAAUAUCCCUACCACUUCCUUGCUGAGUGAUUUUAGGGUAAUUAUAUUAUUUGGCCUCUCCAAGUCUACGUUUCCUCUUCUAAAAAGAGGCAAUGGGGAGGUCCUGUUGUGGCUCAGCAGGUAAAGAACCCAACAGUGUCCAUGAGGAUGCAGGUUCGAUCCCUGGCCUUGCUCAGUGGGUUAAGGGUCCAGCGUUGCCACGUAUGUCGGUGUAGGUCGUGGCUCAGAUCUCAAGUGGCUG
rnacentral:lncRNA from 1 species